GUGUCAGCAGCCGCGGUAAUACAUGUGGGGCAAGCGUUGUUCGGAAUUACUGGGCAUAAAGGGUGCGUAGGUGGCUUGGUAAGUCAGUGGUGAAAUCGUCCGGCCCAACCGGACACGUGCCAAUGAUACUGCCGAGCUUGAUUGCGUGAGGGGUAGGGGGAACGAGCAGUGUAGCGGUGAAAUGCGUAGAUAUUGCUCGGAAGGCCAAAGCCGAAGGGACCCUACUGGUACGUAACUGACACUGAGGCACGAAAGCGUGGGGAGCAAACAGGAUUAGAUACCCUGGUAGUCC
rnacentral:rRNA from 1 species